ACAGCAUAUUUUUAAAUUACAGGGGAGGAGUUAUAAUUUAUACAUAAAAAGUUAUAUUUUGUAAUUAUAGGAAAAUUAGAAAAGGCUUUUUAGAGCAGGAUUAAAUAAUACAAAAGCAAAUCCCUUAGUGAAAUAGUCUUAUAUCAAAAUUUAAAUUUUCUGUACAAGUGACAACAUAACCAAAAUUAACCAUGCCAUUGAUAGCAAACCCCAAAUUGAACUAAGAGGAAACAUAAUUUACAGAAGAAACCAAACCCUAAAGUAUAGGGGAAAAUGCUCAAAAUCAUAAGUAAUUACAGCUGAAUAAAACAAUAAUGACCUAUCGCUUUGCAUUAUUAGGCGGCCAAAAAAAUGUAAACAGUAGGAAGCUGGAUGCUGCUCCGUGUUUGGGGACGCAUGGACACAGGACGGAGCACACGGGACCUGGUGAUGGAGGCUGCCUCAGUCCUGUUCGCAUUUGAACAUCUUUGGCCAAUCCAAGGCUCUGCUGGUACCUGAUUCUCGAUACCAACCUAGAGGCAAUGAAAGUGAGGUCCUGAGGAGGACAAACAUCAUCAUUCAAGGCAUCCACCUCAGUAGGUGAAUGGAUAAACUGUGGAAUACCCAGUGGAAUACUGUUUGGCGAUAAAGGGACUGAGCUACUGAUUCAUGCAUCAACAUGAAGAAAUCUGAAAUACAUUUUGCUGGUUUCUUCAAUAAAUGGUGUUCAGAGAAUUGGACUCCUGUAUACGGAAGAAUGAAACUCAACUAUUCUCUUAUACCAUUCACAAAGAUAAACUCUAAAUGGAUGAAAGACCUCAAUGAGAC